rnacentral:rRNA from 1 species
CUUUACUGUAGCCUGGUAUUGGGUUCGGGCUUUGACUGCGCAGGAUAGGUGGGAGACUAUGAAGCAAUCCUUGUGGGGGUUGCUGAGUCAACGGUGAGAUACCACUCUGUCAGAGCUAGAAUUCUAACUAAAUGCCGUUAUCCGGCUUUGGAACCGUAUCAGGUGGGCAGUUUGACUGGGGCGGUCGCCUCCUAAAAGGUAACGGAGGCGCGCAAAGGUUCUCUCAGGCUGGUUGGAAAUCAGCCGUAGAGUGUAAAGGCAGAAGAGAGCCUGACUGCAAGAGCUACAACUCGAGCAGGGUGGAAACACGGCCUUAGUGAUCCGACGGCACAGCGUGGAAUGGCCGUCGCUCAACGGAUAAAAGUUA